rnacentral:tRNA from 1 species
CCCGGGGUGGAGCAGUGGUAGCUCGCCAGGCUCAUAACCUGGAGGUCGCUGGUUCAAAUCCAGCCCCCGGAA